rnacentral:rRNA from 1 species
UGAGGAAUAUUGGUCAAUGGGCGCAAGCCUGAACCAGCCAUGCCGCGUGAAGGAUGAAGGCCCUAAGGGUUGUAAACUUCUUUUGUACGGGGGUAAACUCUAAUACGUGUAUUAGACUGAAAGUACUGUACGAAUAAGCAACGGCUAACUCCGUGCCAGCAGCCGCGGUAAUACGGAGGUUGCAAGCGUUAUCCGGAUUUAUUGGGUUUAAAGGGUGCGUAGGCGGGAAUUUAAGUCAGUGGUGAAAGACUGUCGCUUAACGAUAGCAUUGCCAUUGAUACUGAAUUUCUUGAGUACAUUUGAGGUGGGCGGAAUAAGUAGUGUAGCGGUGAAAUGCUUAGAUAUUACUUAGAACACCAAUUGCGAAGGCAGCUCACUAAACUGUAACUGACGCUGAGGCACGAAAGCGUGGGGAUCAAACAGG